GUGUGGGUAGAGUCCAGUGUGUGGGUAGAGUCCAGUGUGUGGAUAGAGUCCAGUGUGUGGGUAGAGUCCAGUGUGUGGGUAGAGUCCAGUGUGUGGGUAGAGUCCAGUGUGUGGGUAGAGUCCAGUGUGUGGAUAGAGUCCAGUGUGUGGUAGAGUCCAGUGUGUGGGUAGAGUCCAGUGUGUGGGUAGAGUCCUGUGUGUGGGUAGAGUCCAGUGUGUGGGUAGAGUCCAGUGUGUGGAUAGAGUCCAUGUGUGGGUAGAGUCCAGUGUGUGGGUAGAGUCCAGUGUGUGGGUAGAGUCCUGUGUGUGGGUAGAGUCCAGUGUGUGGGUAGAGUCCAGUGUGUGGGUAGAGUCCAGUGUGUGGGUAGAGUCCAGUGUGUGGGUAGAGUCCAGUGUGUGGGUAGAGUCCAGUGUGUGGGUAGAGUCCAGUGUGUGGGUAGAGUCCAGUGUGUGGAUAGAGUCCAGUGUGUGGGUAGAGUCCAGUGUGUGGGUAGAGUCCAGUGUGUGGGUAGAGUCCAGUGUGUGGGUAGAGUCCAGUGUGUGGGUAGAGUCCAGUGUGUGGGUAGAGUCCAGUGUGUGGGUAGAGUCCAGUGUGUGGGUAGAGUCCAGUGUGUGGGUAGAGUCGAGUGUGUGAAUAGAGUCCAGUGUGUGGGUAGAGUCCAGUGUGUGGGUAGAGUCCAGUGUGUGGGUAGAGUCCAGUGUGUUGGUAGAGUCCAGUGUGUGGGUAGAGUCCAGUGUGUGGGUAGAGUCCAGUGUGUGAGUAGAGU
rnacentral:lncRNA from 1 species